GUUGUACUCCCUCCGUCCGAAAAUACUUGUCAUCAAAAUGGAUGAAAAUGGAUGUAUCUAAAACUAAAAUACGUCUAGAUACAUCCCCUUUUAUCCAUUUUGAUGACAAGUAUUUCCGGACGGAGGGAGUAGACU
rnacentral:pre_miRNA from 1 species